rnacentral:rRNA from 1 species
UACGUAGGGUGCAAGCGUUGUCCGGAAUUACUGGGCGUAAAGGGCUCGUAGGUGGCCAACUAAGUCAGACGUGAAAUCCCUCGGCUUAACCGGGGAACUGCGUCUGAUACUGGAUGGCUUGAGUUUGGGAGAGGGAUGCGGAAUUCCAGGUGUAGCGGUGAAAUGCGUAGAUAUCUGGAGGAACACCGGUGGCGAAGGCGGCAUCCUGGACCAACACUGACGCUGAGGAGCGAAAGCCAGGGGAGCAAAGCGGG